GACGAACGCUGGCGGCGUGCUUAACACAUGCAAGUCGAACGGAAAGGCCCUGCUUGCAGGGUCCUCGAGUGGCGAACGGGUGAGUAACACGUGGGUGAUCUGCCCUGCACUUCGGGAUAAGCCUGGGAAACUGGGUCUAAUACCGGAUAGGAGCCAUUUUUAGUGUGAUGGUUGGAAAGUUUUUUCGGUGUAGGAUGAGCUCGCGGCCUAUCAGCUUGUUGGUGGGGUAAUGGCCUACCAAGGCGGCGACGGGUAGCCGGCCUGAGAGGGUGGACGGCCACAUUGGGACUGAGAUACGGCCCAGACUCCUACGGGAGGCAGCAGGGGGGAAUAUUGCACAAUGGGCGCAAGCCUGAUGCAGCGACGCCGCGUGGGGGAUGACGGCCUUCGGGUUGUAAACUCCUUUCGCUAGGGACGAAGCUUUUUGUGACGGUACCUAGAUAAGAAGCACCGGCUAACUACGUG
rnacentral:rRNA from 1 species